AUGGAACGAAACGUCGCGGACGACCUAAAUCGCGAAUUCGGGAACGAUGUGAAAAACCUGCGCAAGGCGAAGAAUUAUCACGCUUCGCUGAUGGUUAGGAAGCAAGAGAUCGAGCAGAGACUCAAGGCGUCGAAAGGCGGUGGCGAUCCGGACCAGUUGAAGGGAUUGCUCGGCUUCGCGCGAGAGUCCCUGGAGAAGAUGCAGAUACUCGAAGGCGUGCACGGCAAGAUCUUGAACGACGUGUCGGCGCACCUGGACAAUGCCAGCCUGGUCAAGAAGGAGUUCGAGAGCUCCCUCACCGACAUCCAGAAGCUGCUGCGGUUAAAGCAGUACCUGCAGUGGAUAGCCAAGAUCGAGGAAACCAGCGAGUCAAUCGAGGAAGCGAUGAGUCAGGGCCAAGACGAACAAGCCGUGUCACACCUCUCCUUCCUGCUGCAAGUAUGGCAGAGAGUGCGCGGUUCGGCCUGCGUACACCUCGUCGACUUUCUACGGGAAACCAUCCUCUACUGGCAUCAAAUUCUCAGGGAUAAGUUUGAAAAGGAGUUCAACAAAGUUCUGCAUUCGAUGGGCUGGCCCAUCCUCAACACGGGCGUCAGCGCGCCGGUUUCCUACACGCCGGAGCUGUUGCUUCCAUUCGAGAAGUGCUUCAUCAACCUCCACAAGAUCCAGCUGCCGGAAGGCCUGGAAGGUUCACAGUUGGACGUCGGAUCGACCACAUCGGUGCUACCCUUGGAACUGAUGCUGCGACCGCUGAAGAAGCGCUUCCUUUUCCACUUUACCGGGAAACGUCAGACCAACAGACUUGACAAGCCGGAGUGGUACUUGAGCCAGAUACUGACCUGGGUUGCGGACCAUGGAGAGUUCUGCGAUCGAUUUGUCCAGGCAAUUCUCGUCAAGGCAGGUGUUGAAGGCAUGCAGGCAAGGCUGGAGCUGAUGCGGGGACUGGUCCAGAUCGGCAUUCACAAGUUGCAGAUGGACUUGCCGUCACUGCUCGCCGACGAUCAGCUGCUGACGCACGCCAUCGAGGAAGUGCUGCUGUUCGACCGGGAGCUGCGGAGUCAGGGCUACCCUCCUUUCUACCCGUGCAUCCUCAACGUGCUCACCGCCGACCACUGCUUCAUUCGUUGGAUUGCUCUGGAGAAGAAAUACGCCGACGAGAAGCGCGACGUCCUCUUGUCGUCUCCGACGGCGUGGAAGCCACAGUUCCCGAUGGACGGUGACGUUGACGACCUCAAAGUUCCGGAGUGUGCUGAAGCAUUCAUGAUGAUCCUGUCCGCUAUGACAGAACGUUAUCGGCACCUCGAGCAACCCUAUCACCGGCUCAAGUUUGUGAGCCUGCAGCAGAUACUUCUAGAAGACUGGAGGCUGUGCCUGCAGCAGAUCCUGACAGCACGGCUGGAAGAGCUGAACCUGGUCGCCAUCUGCCCGAUCGUGAACGCCGCCCACUACGUGGUCCAAGUGCUGGCCCAGUGGAGCAUACAGCCGUUUUUCGUCGAACUUCUGGAAGCCUGUAACGAGAUGCAGCAGAAGGAGAAGCAGAAGAGGCAAAGUACAAAACAGGCCAAUUCGGAAAUGGUGGACCCCGAGGAGGCACUGUUUCUGGCGGCCUCGGAGACGCCGUCGGACGAGAGCAGCCAGCUCGUGCCCAUGGCCGAGUACGGCACCCUGCAGGAGUCGGUGUUCGAGGAGGUGUCGCAGCUGCUCGAGAAGCUGUACACGGACACCGUGCUUGCCAUCGUUGACGAGCUGGUGCUUGACUUCAAGGCCAAGAGCAAGGCCUACCGGCGCGAGAAGUGGUUCUGCAUGCCGUCGCUGAACGACAGGGAAGACGCGGGCCUGACGCCGACUGCCUUCCCCAUGCUCAGCUGGCUGCAGUCCAGUCUUCAACAGCUUCAGGAGGCCCUCGCUGCACCGCUCUUCAACACGCUCUGGCAAGAAGCCGCGCGAGGCAUCAGCCUGUUCUUGUACGAAGAGCUGAUCCUGGAAAACUUCUUCAGUGAAGGGGGUGCCAUGCAGCUCAGCUUCGACAUGAACCGGAACCUCUUCCCGCUGUUCAGCACGUACACCCAGAAACCAGAGAACCACUUCAAGGAGGUGAAAGAGGCCUGCAUCCUGCUGACCAUGCCGCACCCCGUGGCCUGGAUCCUACAAGAAACGCUCCGUGCGGCCCGGGCCACCGACGUUGUCACGGGCGGCACGGCGCUCGAGGAGCAGGGCGUCUCGUUCCUGACCCCGUCCCAGGCCAUGCACGUGCUCUCGAAACGCAACGACCUCGUGCACACCUGAGUCAUCAUUCCAAGCUGGUUGGCAUCAUCAAGCCGGCUGCAAAGCCGGUCACCGAGCCACGCUUGUCACCCCCCCUCCACAUGCUCAGGUCUUUUCCCCAGCCUUCGUGCAAAGCUUUCGAGGCAUGGCCAUGUCGCACGCCGCGCGUUGUCCCAACCCCGACGUGUGUGCCGGUAUUUGUGGUGCAGGCUUGGUGAAGGAGGCUCGUCGACGAGAGUGCGUGGAUGUGGACGAUGUUGAAAGCCGAAGAAGGCCCAGAAUGUCUUGCGCUGCUUCGCGAAGUGCUUCUGCACGACCCCGUUGCAUUGUGACCCUCACCGUUGUAAAUGUGCCAAUCUAUACUAUGCGCUGCAUGGGCGAGAGAAAACUAAAUUUGUGAGAGUCAGCAUGUGAAUGUCAAGGGUCUUUGAGCUGAAAGGUAGGAAAACCUGUGAGAGGUUUAUCGAGCAAAGUGAUAUCUCUGGCCGUGUGUUUGCGAAGCAGAGGAGUGUGAAGCUGCGGGGACAAGUCGAACUGCCACUCUCAGAAGGAUUAUAGGAGGAAGCAAAUUUCUUUACAGGCCAUGUUUUGGCAGAGAAGACACUUUUGUUGGGGGCCAUCCGGACAAAGUGAAGAGGCAGCAGUCCGGAAAGCACACACUGUGUAUUACAGUUUCAGCUAAGCUUUUCGUUGUUGCCUGCC
rnacentral:misc_RNA from 1 species